UAGUCCACGCCGUAAACGAUGAGCACUAGUUUUUGGGGGUAUUGAUCCCUUCAGAAACGCAGCUAACGCAUUAAGUGCUCCGCCUGGGGAGUACGGUCGCAAGACUAAGACUCAAAGGAAUUGACGGGGGCCCGCACAAGCGGUGGAUUAUGUGGUUUAAUUCGAAGCAACGCGCAGAACCUUACCUAGGCUUGAACUCCUAAGAAUUCCGGGUAACUCCGGAAGUGCCCUUCGGGGAAUUUAGUGAGAGGUGCUGCAUGGCUGUCGUCAGCUCGUGUUGUGAAAUGUUGGGUUAAGUCUCGCAACGAGCGCAACCCCUAUCGUUAGUUGCCAGCAUUAAGUUGGGCACUCUAACGAGACUGCCUGGGUCAACCAGGAGGAAGGUGGGGAUGACGUCAAGUCCUCAUGGCCCUUAUGUCUAGGGCUACACACGUAAUACAAUAGUACAAACAAAGGGAAGCGAACUCGCGAGGGGAGGCAAAUCUCAAAAAUUGUAUCUCAGUCCAGAUUGGAGU
rnacentral:rRNA from 1 species